UCUAUCGUGAUCUAUCGGUAAGAUCGCGCGUGUUUAAGCGAUACAUCCAUAACCUCAAUGAUUUCAUAGGAGACAUGUGCUCCACGUUUCUUAUUGUGUUUUAAUAAUAAAUUGUUUAUGAUGAAAGAUGAUGCUCAUAAAGUGUGGCAUGUCGGAACAGAUGCGAAGAAGCGUCUUAUCGGCGAUGACAUUUGCACGCAGAUCCACAGCUCUCGGAACAAAUUAUACUCAGCCAUGCAGAGGUAAAAAAGACAAUAGUAAUUCACAUUCGCCGGAAUCUCUUUUUCAUCCCGUGCCCAUCAAACCAACUCCAGAUGACAUAAACAUUGGUGCUGAAUUAACCGGAUCUGUAAUAAAGAAAACGGAUGUUUUGAAAAUAUUGAAUGCCUUUACUCAAAAAACAGAGAUCAAGGAACUGGCUCGACAACAUGGAUUAGACAGUUAUCUCCAAGGACAGGCAUUUACGAAUUUUAAACAAUAUUGUUUAACAACAGAAUCAUUACCUGUGGAUCUUCAUAUAGUAUUGAGUGAUAUUUUGCAAGAUGCUGGAAAUGUCACCGAUAUUUUUCCAUAUUUCUUACGACAUGCGAAACAAAUGUUUCCACAUAUUGAUUAUAUAGAUGAUCUUAAAAAGAUUAGUGAUCUACGAAGUCCUGCCUCCUGGUAUCCUUUAGCAAGAGCAAAAAAUAGGAAAAUAAUUUUUCAUGCUGGACCAACAAAUAGUGGGAAAACUUAUCAUGCUCUAGAAAGAUUUAUUACAGCAAAGAGUGGAGUGUAUUGUGCACCACUGAAAUUAUUAGUUGCAGAAGUAUAUCAUAAGUGUAACGAAAGGGGAACACCAUGUGAUUUAUUAACUGGAGAAGAACGAAAGUAUAUUAAAGGUAUCGAUAAUCCGGCAAAUCAUUUAUCCUGUUCUGUAGAAAUGGUGAAUCUACAAAAUAAUUACGAAGUAGCUGUAAUUGAUGAAAUUCAAUUGAUGCGUGAUCCUAGUAGAGGCUGGGCGUGGACGAGAGCUCUUUUGGGAAUUCCUGCAGAUGAAAUACAUUUAUGUGGUGAAGCUGCUGCUAUAGAUUUGGUAAGAGAUAUAUGUAUUUCUGCGGGUGAAAAUGUGGAAGUUCGCAGAUAUAAGCGACUAACAAAUCUGGAAAUAGAAAACGAGGCGCUUGGUUCUUUGAUCAAUGUUAAACCGGGAGAUUGUAUAGUUUGUUUUAGCAAAAAUGAUAUAUUUACUGUAUCGCGUUCUCUUGAGAGUAGAGGAACAGAAGUAGCAGUAAUAUAUGGCAGCUUACCACCAGGUACCAAGCUGGCUCAAGCUGCAAAAUUUAACGAUCCUAAGAAUUCGUGUAAAGUUUUGGUAGCAACUAAUGCGAUUGGAAUGGGUUUAAAUUUACACAUUCGAAGAAUUAUAUUUUAUUCAUUGAUUCAACCAACAAUCAAUGAAAAAGGUGAAAAGGAAAUGGACAUUCUAUCUGUAUCGGCAGCUUUACAAAUCGCAGGCCGCGCUGGACGUUAUGGUACAGCUUGGGAUACAGGUUAUGUAACGACCUUUAAACGAGAAGAUCUACUUACUUUAAAAACUUUGUUGAAUCAAACACCAGAAGUAAUAACACAAGCAGGUCUUCAUCCAACAGCGGAUCAAAUUGAGCUGUAUGCUUAUCACUUACCGAAUUCACCAUUAUCGAAUUUAAUGGAUAUUUUUAUAUCAUUGUGCACAGUUGACGAUUCUCUUUACUUUAUGUGCAAUUUAGAUGAUUUUAAGUUUUUGGCUGAUAUGAUACAGCAUGUUCCGCUGCCACUUCGUGCGAGAUAUGUAUUUUGCUGUGCACCAAUUAAUAGAAAACUGCCUUACGUGUGCUCUAUGUUCCUGAAAUUUGCACGUCAAUAUAGUAAGAAUGAUGCAAUAACAUUUAGUUGGUUGUGUCAAAAUAUUGGAUGGCCUUUUGCAACACCAAAGACUAUACUUGAUCUUGUUCAUUUAGAAGGCAUCUUUGAUGUGUUAGAUCUUUACUUAUGGCUGAGUUAUCGUUUCGUGGAUCUAUUCCCGGAUGAUGGAAUGGUGCGUGAUAUACAAAAGGAGCUUGAUGCACUCAUCGAAGCAGGAAUAGUUAGAUUAACAACCUUGUUGUUGCACUCGGAUGCAGGUGGAGAGACUGACAGUUUUGAGAUGCAGACACAAAAGCAAAACUUUUAUCGAGAUCAUGGAACUGGUAAACGUAGCAUAGGUAAAGGAAAAUUGACUGAAAGAUUAAUAGCAGAAGGACUCUUAACACCACAAAUGUUACGUGAAUUGCAAUCUGAAUGGAUUAAGUCGAGGAAGAAAAAAUAAUAUAGAAAAUAGUAAAAAAAUAUUAAAUUGGAUUAAAAGAAAUUAUAUUACAUGCUGAUUGACAUAAUUAUGGAUUAAUUAAAAAAGCAUAAGCGUCAUAAGUUAACACAACAUGAAUUAAAAUCUUAUAUAUAUAUAUAUAUAUAUAUAUAUAUAUAUAUAUAUAUAUAUAUAUAUAUAUGUAGAAUACACAAUAUUCUAAUUUUAUGUGAGACCCAAAGCUAUGGUAACUGGGAAAACAUGAUUACUGCCCUGAACGUCCCCAUAUUCGAUGUUUCGAUAUCUUCGAAAAUUGCAAUAUUGCGAUUCUCGAAGACUAAUGUCCAUUACGGAACGCGCUACGACGAUUGUAAAACCGCAUCAUAAAAUUCAAAUCAAUCCAUAUUUUUCACGAUAUUUUUACUGUACGACAUAGUCACAUGCGCGAAAAUAUCGAUAAUGUUUCUCAUAAAUUGUUGCGAAUAUAGAUAAUUGAUUGUGAAUAUAGUAUUGGUUUUCGUGUUCAAUUGCUAUAUUACAUUAAUAUCGCGAUUUUAUUGAGUGUUCGUCUACAAUGCAUUCUGUGCGUGUUCAAACUCGAUCAUACUUAGCAGAUCUUAAGUUAUUAUCUCGUCGAAAAUAUACAACUAUUGCAUAUAAACAAUCAGGUAUGUAACAGACUA